CCUACGGGAGGCAGCAGUGGGGAAUAUUGCACAAUGGGGGAAACCCUGAUGCAGCGACGCCGCGUGAGUGAAGAAGUAAUUCGUUAUGUAAAGCUCUAUCAGCAGGGAAGAAAAUGACGGUACCUGAGUAAGAAGCCCCGGCUAACUACGUGCCAGCAGCCGCCGUAAUACGUAGGGGGCAAGCGUUAUCCGGAUGUACUGGGUGGAAAGGGAGCGUAGACGGCUGUGCAAGUCAGGAGUGAAAGGCGGGGGCUCAACCCCCGGACUGCACGGGAAACUGUACGGCUGGAGUGCAGGAGAGGGAGGUGUAAUUCCUGGUGUAGCGGUGAAAUGCGUAGAUAUUAGGAGGAACACCAGUGGCGAAGGCGGCUUACUGGACUGUGACUGACGUUGAGGCUCGAAAGCGUGGGGAGCAAACAGGAUUAGAUACCCGAGUAGUC
rnacentral:rRNA from 1 species